ACUCCUGCGGGAGGCAGCAGUGGGGAAUUUUGGACAAUGGGCGAAAGCCUGAUCCAGCCAUGCCGCGUGCAGGAUGAAGGCCUUCGGGUUGUAAACUGCUUUUGUACGGAACGACACGGCCUUUUCUAAUAAAGAGGGCUAAUGACGGUACCGUAAGAAUAAGCACCGGCUAACUACGUGCCAGCAGCCGCGGUAAUACGUAGGGUGCAAGCGUUAAUCGGAAUUACUGGGCGUAAAGCGUGCGCAGGCGGUUAUGUAAGACAGUUGUGAAAUCCCCGGGCUCAACCUGGGAACUGCAUCUGUGACUGCAUAGCUAGAGUACGGUAGAGGGGGAUGGAAUUCCGCGUGUAGCAGUGAAAUGCGUAGAUAUGCGGAGGAACACCGAUGGCGAAGGCAAUCCCCUGGACCUGUACUGACGCUCAUGGACGAAAGCGUGGGGAGCAAACAGGAUUAGAAACCCUGGUAGUCCCA
rnacentral:rRNA from 1 species